rfam:Canis lupus familiaris chromosome 32, whole genome shotgun sequence.
ACCUGGCUGGCUCAGUCAGAAGAGCAUGUGACUCUUGAUCUCAGGGGUCGUGAGUUCGAGCCUCAUGUUGGGUG